CCCCGCUUGAAACUUAAAGCACUUCAAUAAGCGGAGGAAAAGAAAACUAAACAAGGAUUUCCCUAGUAACUUGCGAGUUGAAGCGGGAAGAGCUUCAAAAUUUAAAAAUUCUUGGCGUUGCCUCUUGGUCGUCCGAGUUGUAGUCUGGAGAAGCGUUUUUCUGUGUUGGACCGUGUAUAAAUCUCUUGGAACAGGGCGUCAUAGAGGGUGAGAAUCCCGUCUUUUGACACGGACUACCAAUGCUUUGUGAUGCGCUCUCAAAGAGUCGAGUUGUUUGGGAAAUGCAGCUCAAAAUGGGUGGUAAAUUCCAUCUAAAGCUAAAUACAGGCGAGAGACCGAUAGCGAACAAGUACCGUGAGGGAAAGAUGAAAAGCACUUUGGAAAGAGAGUUAAACAGUACGUGAAAUUGCUGAAAGGGAAAACGCUUGAAGUCAGUCGUGUCUGCCAGGACUCAGCCUUGCUUCUGCUUGGUGUACUUUCUGGUCGGAUGGGCCAACAUCAAUUUUGACCGUUGGAGAAAGGCUUUGGGAAUGUGGCACCUUCGGGUGUGUUAUAGCCCUUUGUUGUAUACGACGGUUGGGAUUGAGGACCGCAGCACGCCUUUAUGGCCGGGGCUCGCCCACGUACGUGCUUAGGAUGUUGGCAUAAUGGCUUUAAGCGACCCGUCUUGAAACACGG
rnacentral:rRNA from 1 species